UUGAUUCAUUUGUUUAUGAUUCCACUCAGACAUGCAAAGUAAGAAAUACAAGAGUUUGGGUCCCCCGGCGGGCGCCUGGUUCCGGCGGCUUUUUGGGCCUUCCGGGGCGUUAACCCGCCGAAGCAACAGUAAAGGUAUAAGUUCACAGGGGUUUGGGAGUAGAAAAACUCGGUAAUGAUCCCUCCGCUGGUUCACCAACGGAGA
rnacentral:misc_RNA from 1 species